UACGAAGGGGGCAAGCGUUGUUCGGAAUUAUUGGGCGUAAAGGGCGCGUAGGUGGCGCCGCAAGUCAACGGUGAAAGCUCGACGCUUAACGUCGAGUCGGCCGUCGAGACUGCGGGGCUCGAGCACUGUAGAGGCUCAUGGAAUUCCGGGUGUAGCGGUGGAAUGCGUAGAGAUCCGGAAGAACACCGGUGGCGAAGGCGGUGAGCUGGGCAGUUGCUGACACUGAGGCGCGACAGCGUGGGGAGCAAACAGG
rnacentral:rRNA from 1 species